CCAACAGGGAUUGCCUCAGUAACGGCGAGUGAAGCGGCAACAGCUCAAAUUUGAAAUCUGGUCCUUUCAGGCCCCGAGUUGUAAUUUGUAGAGGAUGUUUCGGGUGCGGCGCCGGUCUAAGUCCUUUGGAACCGGGCGUCAUAGAGGGUGAGAACCCCGUCUGUGACUGGCGACCAACCCCAUGUGUAACUCCUUCGACGAGUCGAGUUGUUUGGGAAUGCAGCUCAAAAUGGGUGGUAAAUUUCAUCUAAAGCUAAAUACCGGCCAGAGACCGAUAGCGCACAAGUAGAGUGAUCGAAAGAUGAAAAGCACUUUGGAAAGAGAGUCAAAAAGUACGUGAAAUUGUUGAAAGGGAAGCGCUGGCAACCAGACCUGCCCGCCGGCGAUCAACCUCCGUUCUCGGGGGUGCACUCGCCGGCGAUCAGGCCAGCAUCGGUUCGGGCGGCCGGAUAAAGGCCCCGGGAAUGUAGCUCCCCCCGGGGAGUCUUAUAGCCCGGGGUGCAAUGCGGCCAKCGCCGGACCGAGGACCGCGCUUCGGCAAG
rnacentral:rRNA from 1 species